UACAGAGGGUGCGAGCGUUGUCCGGAAUCACUGGGCGUAAAGCGCGCGUAGGCGGCCGCGCAAGUCGGAUGUGAAAGCCCCGGGCUCAACCCGGGAAGUGCACCCGAUACUGCAUGGCUCGAGUACUGGAGAGGUUGGUGGAAUUCUCGGUGUAGAGGUGAAAUUCGUAGAUAUCGAGAGGAACACCGGUGGCGAAGGCGGCCAACUGGACAGAUACUGACGCUGAGACACGAAAGCGUGGGGAGCAAACAGG
rnacentral:rRNA from 1 species